rnacentral:rRNA from 1 species
GAUGAACGCUGGCGGCGUGCCUAAUACAUGCAAGUCGAGCGAACAGACGAGGAGCUUGCUCCUCUGACGUUAGCGGCGGACGGGUGAGUAACACGUGGAUAACCUACCUAUAAGACUGGGAUAACUUCGGGAAACCGGAGCUAAUACCGGAUAAUAUAUUGAACCGCAUGGUUCAAUAGUGAAAGACGGUUUUGCUGUCACUUAUAGAUGGAUCCGCGCCGCAUUAGCUAGUUGGUAAGGUAACGGCUUACCAAGGCAACGAUGCGUAGCCGACCUGAGAGGGUGAUCGGCCACACGGGAACUGAGACACGGUCCAGACUCCUACGGGAGGCAGCAGUAGGGAAUAUUCCGCAAUGGGCGAAAGCCUGACGGAGCAACGCCGCGUGAGUGAUGAAGGUCUUCGGAUCGUAAAACUCUGUUAUUAGGGAAGAACAAAUGUGUAAGUAACUAUGCACGUCUUGACGGUACCUAAUCAGAAAGCCACGGCUAACUACGUG